rnacentral:misc_RNA from 1 species
UCAAUUCCUUCACAACUUUUGCUGGUGAAUUCCAUUUCCUUAGAUCUCUUUCUUUCAAUUUUUUUCACUCGGUUUUCCUCCUUGUAUCCUUCUUUUGCUGUUUUUUAAUCUUUCAAUUCUUCUUUCACUUUACAAUAUAUUUUUGUGCAUGCAAAUCUACAAUUUCUGACUCCUUCGCAUUGUAUAUUUAUAUUAUAUUUUAAAUCAAUUAUUCGAUUGAAAGCCAUUCUCCGUUUAUUGAAUUUUAUUGUUGUUUGGAUUCUGAGGAAAACGGAUGAAAUAGGAAGAAAUUUGCUUUUCUUCUGUCCUUUAGGAUUUCCCACAUUUGGUCCAUAGCUAAACACAGACUAAUUUUUUUUUUUUAAUAUGAUUUUUGUUUUGUUUCAGUUAUUAGUUAAUUUUCUCGCUCCAUUUCAUCCAGCAACUAACAAGAGAUUGUAUCUUAUUUUUGCUACACUAAUUCAUUCAGUUAACUAUUAUGUGAUUGCACAGGUACUUAUAAUUAAUGAUCUCCAACACCUCUUCCGAAAAUUUUCUUAAUUCAUAAUUUUUUUGGAUCAUGUUCUAAGUCAUCAUUUCUACUUCAGGCCAUUUGAUUAAUAUGAUUUAGUUGGAUUCUUUAUCUAGGCUACAAUGCAAUGAUUGUUGGGUUCUUGGCAUGAAGAGAUAGCUCUUCAUUAUGGUUUUCAAGGAUUUGCAUAUUUCUUUGCUCUGAAUUACCUUCUCAAUUUUAUGUGGGGUCAUUUUGUUGUAGACAACUUGGCGGAAAAAAGCUGU